GUGUAGUCCAUGGGGUCACAAAGAUUCGGACACAACUGAGCGACUUUCGCUUUCACUUUCCUCCCCCUCCUUAUCAUGCAUAUCCCUAAGCACAGCAGGCAGUGUAGGAUAUUAUGAGUCUAAUUCAGGACCACACAAAGCUGUUUACGCUCUUACAGAAAUAGAAGCUUUUAGGGUCUGAUUUAGGAUCCACUCAUUUAGAUGGCAAGGGAGCUUACCCAAGAGAAUAAAGGGGAAGGCAGGAAGGGAUGGGGAGUGUCAGAAGGGCAGGGCCACAUGGCAAAAGCCCAGGACCUGCAGAAAUGGGACUCAGAGAGGCAGACAACCCACAGCCAUGGGAGGUCUGAUUCCAGGCAGGGAGGAGAUCUGGCAGGAGCACUCAGGUGCUGACAAUACAAAUCCUGAUUCUAAGUGACUUGGCCAGAUUCCUAUCUACAGAUCACCAGGAUUUUCUGAUCUAUAAAGAAGUUCUAAGCUUGAGGCUGUCAGUAGGAGUAAAAAGAAGGUGCUCUGACUUUUGGCCUUGCUACUGACAGAUGCUGCAGCUCACACCCAGCUCCGGCCGGCCAUCCUCCGUGGAACUCAGGUCACCUCUGGGAGUAGGAACUGUGGUCUCCGAGUCCUCUGCCCGCAUCUUCUGCCCCUGUUUUCUGCACCUGGACAGCACCCCCUGGAAUCUGGCCAGACUCCUCUCCUGGAUGACUGUGGCCCAGAACCCUCAAAGUGCAGCUGAGAGAGAGGCCACCCCCGACCCCAGACGUCACACAGGAACCGUCUUGACCACAUCCGUCCAUGAAUGACUGCAGGCGGGAGGAGAGUAACACACCCUCUGUGAAGGCUGACAGGAACCAAGAAAGUUUGAUUUCAUUCCCCGUCGGUUAAAGGAAGCCGAGUUCCAACUCAGGACACAAGCCCACCAUCUCCGUGGGGUGCUGGCUUUCCUGCUAAAGUCUCCCUUCCUUGCCCUGACAGCCUGUCUCUCAUCUUAGCGCCUGUUCUGCGGAGAGCCGUGCAAGCUUGUACUUGGAACCAGCUGUUGGCUGUCCAGGCAGGAGCUUCGCUACUGGUGACUAGCUGGCCCUGGCUGGGGGUUUUCAGAGAAUGGCAGGAGCAGAGCUCAUGACUUCAGAAGCCAGCAGCGAGAAUAGACUUUCCCAGUCUUGGCACCUUGUACUUGGCAACCUGUUUAAUUGGCUUCAGAGGCUUUAACUUGACCUUUAUUCUCCAAUACACAGACACAGUAGGCCGGAUGCCUUGGAUCUCGAUGCAUACCCGUGGGGAACUGCUGAAUCGGCACGGAAGGCACCUGCACGCCCUCG